rnacentral:ncRNA from 3 species
GACGAAGGAUGCAAGCGUUAUCCGGAUUCAUUGGGUUUAAAGGGUGCGUAGGCGGACUUGUAAGUCAGUGGUGAAAUCUCUUCGCUUAACGAAGAAACUGCCAUUGAUACUGCAGGUCUAGAGUAUAGAUGACGUUGGCGGAAUAUGACAUGUAGUGGUGAAAUACUUAGAUAUGUCAUAGAACACCGAUUGCGAAGGCAGCUAACGAAACUAUAACUGACGCUGAGGCACGAAAGUGCGGGGAUCAAACAGG